rnacentral:rRNA from 1 species
CCUACGGGAGGCAGCAGUGGGGAAUCUUGCGCAAUGGGCGAAAGCCUGACGCAGCGACGCCGCGUGCGGGAAGAAGGCCUUCGGGUUGUAAACCGCUUUCAGCAGGGACGAAGCGAAAGUGACGGUACCUGCAGAAGAAGGACCGGCCAACUACGUGCCAGCAGCCGCGGUAAU